GCUGCAUUAUUUGUACGUUAGCGACAGAAGAAGACACCGGCUAACUACCGUGCCAGCAGCCGCGGUAAUACGGAGGGUGCGAGCGUUAAUCGGAAUUACUGGGCGUAAAGACGCAUGCAGGUGGUUUGUUUAAGUCAGAUGUGAAAGACCCGGGGCGUCAACCUCGGAAUAGCAUUUGUAAACUAGGCAGACUAGAGUACUGUAGAGGGGGGUAGGAAUUUCAGGUGUAGCGGUGAAAUGCGUAGAGAUCUGAAGGAAUACCGGUGGCGAAGGCGGCCCCCUCGGACAGAUACUGACACUCAGAUGCGAAAGCGUGGGGAGCAAACAGGAUUAGAUACCCCUGGUAG
rnacentral:rRNA from 1 species